AUUGAACGCUGGCGGCAGGCCUAACACAUGCAAGUCGAGCGGAGCGGCGGACGGGCGAGUAAUGCCUAGGAAUCUGCCUGGUAGUGGGGGAUAACGUCCGGAAACGGGCGCUAAUACCGCACACUAUCAGAUGAGCCUAGGUCGGUUUCGCUAGUUGGUGGGGUAAAGGCCUACCAAGGCGACGAUCCGUACCUGGUCUGAGAGGAUGAUCAGUCACACGGGAACUGAGAAACGGUCCAGACUCCUACGGGAGGCAGCAGUGGGGAAUAUUGGACAAUGGGAGAAAGCCUGAUCCAGCCAUGCCGCGUGUGUGAAGAAGGUCUUCGGAUUGUAAAGCACUUUAAGAGGGGAGGCGUUACCAGCAGAAUAAGCACCGGCUAACUUCGUGCCAGCAGCCGCGGUAAUAC
rnacentral:rRNA from 1 species